rnacentral:rRNA from 1 species
AUGAAGAUACCUCUUAAGAAUAAAAUCUUUGCAUGGUAUCUUUGCCGCGGAGUCAUUCUUACUAAAGAUAACCUUAUUAAGAGGAAUUGGCAUGGAAGUUCACAAUGUGUCUUUUGUCACCAUGACGAGACAAUAAAACAUUUAUUCUUCUAAUGCUAAUUGGCUCGUUCUAUAUAGUCAGUCAUCCAAAUAGCUUCUGGCUUGUAUCCUCCCUGUAGUGUUGCUAAUGUAUUUGGCAACUGGUUAAAUGGGAUUGAUCAUAGGUUUAGAACUCUUCUCAGGAUGGGAGCACUUGCCAUUAUUUGGUCGCUUUGGCUAUGUAGAAAUGAUAAGGUUUUUAUGAUAGAAGUACUUCUCUGUUGCAGGUUAUUUACAGAUGUACCGGGACUCUUAAGGUCCUCUCUACAACGCGUGGAGAAUUGA